rnacentral:lncRNA from 1 species
UCAGUCUUCCGGUAAGAUCACUCCUUCGGUUUAAGCGUGUUUGCAAAACAUGGAAAACCCUAAUCUCAGAUACCCAAUUCGCAAACAACCGCUUUCUGAUCUCUACCGCUUAUCCACAAUUGGUUGCCGCUCAAAACCAGGAAAUCAAAUCUUAUCCUAUCGAGUCACUGUUACAAAACUCAUCAACCACUGUUACACCUGUUAGCUUCAACACGGGACAUCAGGACUAUAUUAUUAUUCUAGGUUCAUGCAAUGGAUUUCUGUGUCUUCAUAAUGUCCAUCAACAUUCUGUCAGAUUGUGAAAUCCUUCUAUCAACUGGAAAUCCAACAGCUCUCCAACCUUUGACUGGUACGAGUUUCUCCUAUAUUAUGGUUUUGGCUAUGAUCAAGUUAAUGACAAGUACAAGUUGCUUGCAGUGUCUAUUAAGAAUGAUUAUUAUGGUGAAACUGAGACUAUAAUUUAUACCUUUGGUGAAAAUUCUUGUAAAAAUGUCCAAGAUUUUCCGCGCUGUCCUCUUAAUCAUAAGUGCUUAGGGAUAUUUGUGAGUGCAAACAGCUCAACAGAGCUGGGCCUCCCUCAGUCAUGGGCCUCAAUUUUUUUUUAAUAUCCACUAGUACUACUGCUCUCCAAUUUUUUUUUAAUACCCCCAGCCAUUUUAUGUCCCCUUGUUUUAGUCUUUUAGGUCUAUUAGAAUUAGGUCCUCUUGCUUUUGAUGUUAGGUGGGGGUUCCUCAUGUAUACGGUAGUCAUUUUCACCUUUGGGUGUACCGCAUAUAUACGGC